rnacentral:rRNA from 1 species
UACGGAGGGUGCAAGCGUUAUCCGGAUUCACUGGGUUUAAAGGGUGCGUAGGUGGGCCUGUAAGUCAGCGGUGAAAUCUCCGGGCUUAACCCGGAAACUGCCAUUGAUACUAUAGGUCUUGAAUUAUCUGGAGGUAAGCGGAAUAUGUCAUGUAGCGGUGAAAUGCUUAGAUAUGACAUAGAACACCAAUUGCGAAGGCAGCUUACUACGGAUCGAUUGACACUGAGACACGAAAGCGUGGGGAUCGAACAGG